GCUCGUCUUCGGAUGAGAGAUGAUGAGCCUCUGCCUUUCAGUUCUCUUGGAACAAGACGGCAAAGAGUCACUUUGACCGUCGCGCAUACCUUAAGCGGGUCUGCCGCCUUCGUUUCUCUUUCUUCAGCGAAUGACUUUGGAUUGCGCUCGCGCGCCGUACCGCAGCCCUUUGGGCUGCUGGCGCUCCGCGAGGGCGCGGCACGAGCCGCGACGGCCGGUCGGCCUUGCGAGGCUCUGCCUCGAAGCCGGCUACCAUCUGCGCUUGGGGCUAAGGGCUUGUAGCUCAGUUGGUUAGAGCGCGCGCUUGAUAAGCGUGAGGUCGGAGGUUCAAGUCCUCCCAGGCCCACCAUCUCCUUGAUACCUGCCAUCAUUUUGAUGGCGAUAUGGGGACAACAAUCAGGGGCCGUAGCUCAGCUGGGAGAGCGCCUGCUUUGCAAGCAGGAUGUCGUCGGUUCGAUCCCGUCCGGCUCCACCACUACCUUGGUGUUGAGUAGAGAUGAGGCGUCGAAAAAAGUCAUUCGUAUAAAGGUUUGUGGUGAGCUUCUGGCUUGCCGCUUGUUCUGUUUGACAUCGUAAAGAGAAGAUUUGUUCGAACUUCAUGAGCCGAAAGGGUCGUGAUUUGUCGCAAGGGACGCUCAAUCCCUUGCAUAUGAUGGGUUUGCCUAACCGCGCCCUCGAACCGAUCUCGAGAAGCUGGUCUUUUUGUGCCAAUGACAUCGGGUCAAAUCCCGCACAGGAUUUGGUUUGGCCCAGGCGACAAUCCCUUCGGGAUUGCGCGGAUGGGCAUUGGCAAUGAGAACGAUCAAGUGUCUUAAGGGCAAUUGGUGGAUGCCUUGGCAUGCACAGGCGAUGAAGGACGUGAUACGCUGCGAUAAGCUACGGGGAGGU
rnacentral:misc_RNA from 1 species